GCCAGUGUGAUAUAGUGGUUUUAGCGCUGGACUGCGACUCCUGAGAUUGGGGUUCGAAUCACCAUUCAUUCA